UCCUCGAUGGUCUAACGGUCAUGAUUUCCGCUUGUCAAGUCUAGUCUGGCUUACGAGCGCGGGAGACCUGGGUUCGACUCCCAGUCGGGGAG
rnacentral:tRNA from 1 species